UACGUAGGGGGCAAGCGUUGUUCGGAAUUACUGGGCGUAAAGGGCGCGUAGGCGGUCCUCUAAGUCAGACGUGAAAUCCCUCGGCUCAACCGGGGAACUGCGUCUGAGACUGGAAGGCUUGAAUUCGGGAGAGGGAUGUGGAAUUCCAGGUGUAGCGGUGAAAUGCGUAGAUAUCGUCAAGAACACCUAUAGCGAAGGCAGCUUACUAGGCUGUAACUGACGCUGAGGCACGAAAGUGUGGGGAUCAAACAGG
rnacentral:rRNA from 1 species